rnacentral:rRNA from 1 species
UACGUAGGUGGCAAGCGUUAUCCGGAAUUAUUGGGCGUAAAGCGCGCGUAGGCGGUUUUUUAAGUCUGAUGUGAAAUCCCACGGCUCAACCGUGGAAGGUCAUUGGAAACUGGAAAACUUGAGUGUAGAAGAGGAAAGUGGAAUUCCAUGUGUAGCGGUGAAAUGCGCAGAGAUAUGGAGGAACACCAGUGGCGAAGGCGACUUUCUGGUCUGCGACUGACGCUCAGGUGCGAAAGCGUGGGGAGCAAACAGG